UACGGAGGGUGCAAGCGUUUAUCCGGAUUCACUGGGUUUAAAGGGUGCGUAGGAGGGCAGGUAAGUCAGUGGUGAAAUCUCCGAGCUUAACUUGGAACUGCCGUUGAUACUAUCUGUCUUGAAUAUUGUGGAGGUGAGCGGAAUAUGUCAUGUAGCGGUGAAAUGCUUAGAUAUGACAUAGAACACCAAUUGCGAAGGCAGCUCGCUACACAUAUAUUGACUCUGAGGCACGAAAGCGUGGGGAUCAAACAGG
rnacentral:rRNA from 1 species